rnacentral:rRNA from 1 species
GAUGAACGCUGGCGGCGUGCUUAACACAUGCAAGUCGAACGGUGAAGGCGGAGCUUGCUCUGCUGGAUCAGUGGCGAACGGGUGAGUAACACGUGAGCAACCUGCCCCUGACUCUGGGAUAAGCGCUGGAAACGGCGUCUAAUACUGGAUACGAGCUGCGAAGGCAUCUUCAGCAGCUGGAAAGAACUUCGGUCAGGGAUGAGCUCGCGGCCUAUCAGCUUGUUGGUGAGGUAACGGCUCACCAAGGCGUCGACGGGUAGCCGGCCUGAGAGGGUGACCGGCCACACUGGGACUGAGACACGGCCCAGACUCCUACGGGAGGCAGCAGUGGGGAAUAUUGCACAAUGGGCGAAAGCCUGAUGCAGCAACGCCGCGUGAGGGACGACGGCCUUCGGGUUGUAAACCGCUUUUAGCAGGGAAGAAGCGAAAGUGACGGUACCUGCAGAAAAAGCGCCGGCUAACUACGUG